UAUAUGGAAAUAAUAGAAUAAUUUUAAAGAGCAAAUUCUUUUUAUUGUUUCAAUGAGGUAUAAUUGACAUACAAUAAGCUCUACAUACAUAGAGUGCACAAUUUAAGAGUUUUGGCUGGGUGCGGUAACUCAUGCUUGUAAUCCCGAGGCCGAGGAAGGCGGAUUGCUUGAGCCCAGGAGUUUGAAAGGAACCUGGGAAACAUAGCAAAACCCCAUCUCUACAGAAACUACAAAAAUUAUACUGGCACAGUGGAGUAUGACUGUAGUUCCAACUACUUGGCAGGAUGAGGUAGGGGUAUCGCUUGAGCUAGGAAGGCUGAGGUUGAGGUUGCAGUGAGCUGAGAUUGUGCCACUGCAUUCCAUCCUGGGUGACUGACAGAACAAGACCUGUCUCAAAAACAAAAUGCAUUUUGACAUACAUAUACACUUGUGAAACCAUCACCACAAUUAAGAUAGCAUCCACACAUCAUCUUGUUCAUUUGCAAUCCCUUACUCUCCUUCUCCUCUGCAGACAACCAUUGGUCUCCUUUCUGUCACUAUAGAUUAGCUUGUACUUACUAAAGUUUUACAGAAAUAGUAUCAUGCAUUUUAAAUUACUUUUUUAACACAACAGUUAUUUUGAGAUUUAUCCAUGUUGUCCACAUUUUAUUGUUUUCAUUGCUGAUUACUAGUAUUUCAUUCCAUAGAUAUAUUACAAUUUGUACUACUGAUAGAAUUUUGUUUUGUUUAGUUUUUGGCUAUUAUAAAUAAAGCUUCUAUGAAUAUAUGUAUGCAAGUUGGUGUGUGGACAUAUACUGUCAUUUCUCUCAGGUGAAUACUUACUUAAGAGUAGAAUGCUGGGUCAUAGCAUAUGUGUAUGUUUAACUUUUAUAUAAACUUCUAACCUGUUUUUACAAAGUGGUUGUAUUGAUUUAGAUUCCCAUCAGCAGUGUAUAAGAAUUCCAGUUGUUCCAGGUCCUUGCUAACACUUGCAAGGUGUGUGUAGGAUGUUUAUAGUAGUAUCUGAUUGUGGUUUUGAUUUGCAUUUACUGCAUACUGACAAAGUUGUGCAUUUUUUAUAGGCUUGUUGGCCACUCCUAUUCCUCUUUUGUUGAAGCAUUUGUUAGAUUUUUUGAAAAAUUUUAUUUUAUUUUUACUAAUAAUUGAGUUGAAGAGGUUUUUUUUAUAUUUUUUAAAUGAAAGUCCUUUGUUGGAUAUAUGUUUAGCAAAUAUUGUUUCUCAGUCUGUGACUUGUUUUAUCAUUUCUGUAAUAGUAUCUUUGAAAAUUGUUCUUAAAAAUUUUGAUUAAGUUUAAUGUGUUGAUUUUUUUUAUAGUUUGUUUUAGUUUUUUUUUUUUUUUUUUUUUUUUUUUUAGACGGAGUUUCACUCUUCUUGCCCAGGCUGGAGUACAAUGGUACAAUCUUGGCUCACUGCAACCUCUGCCUCCCAAGUUCAAGCGAUUCUCCUGCUUCAGCAUCCGGAGUAGCUGUGAUUACAAACGUGCCACUAUACCCGGGUAAUUUUGUAUUUUUUAGUAGAAAUGAGGUUUCUCCAUGUUGGUCAGGCUGGUCUCGAACUCCCGAUCUCAAGUGUCCUCCCACCUUGGCCUCCUAACUAGGAUUACAGGUGUGAGUUUUUUUUUAUAGUUUUUUAUAGCUGCCUCCUGGGCUCAAAUAUCGCUUGAGCUAGGAAGGCUGAGGUUGAGGUUGCAGUGAGCUGAGAUUGUGCCACUGCAUUCCAUCCUGGGUGACUGACAGAACAAGACCUGUCUCAAAAACAAAAUGCAUUUUGACAUACAUAUACACUUGUGAAACCAUCACCACAAUUAAGAUAGCAUCCACACAUCAUCUUGUUCAUUUGCAAUCCCUUACUCUCCUUCUCCUCUGCAGACAACCAUUGGUCUCCUUUCUGUCACUAU
rnacentral:lncRNA from 1 species